UACAGAGGGUGCAAGCGUUGCUCGGAAUCAUUGGGCGUAAAGGGCAGGUAGGUGGUCUCAUUUGUCCGGGGUGAAAGCCUGGGGCUUAACCCCAGAAGGGCCCCGGAAACGGUGAGACUCGAGUACUGGAGAGGGUCGUGGAAUUCCCGGUGUAGCGGUGAAAUGCGUAGAGAUCGGGAGGAACACCAGUGGCGAAGGCGGCUACCUGGACAGAAACUGACGCUGAGGCGCGAAAGCUAGGGGAGCAAACAGG
rnacentral:rRNA from 1 species